UCUCUUGUGCUCGGGCACGCGCUGUCGACAGUGAGGUCUUUACCGAGUCACAGCCAAUUGCUAGUUGCAAACUAAGCAUCCGAACACGUCGUUGAGUCUUACGAUUCUUCGCAAUUUUUGGCAAGCUUCACGAGGC
rnacentral:snRNA from 1 species